rnacentral:tRNA from 1 species
UACGCCUUAGUAUAAGAUGUACAAGAAUUUUUGAUAUUCUAGGGGGCAGGCUGAUUCUGCCAGGCGUAA